rnacentral:snRNA from 1 species
AUACCUUUCUCGUUUUUUUGCUAAGAUAAAGGGUAAUAUUUGUUCUUAUCAAUUUAAUAUCUGAUAUGUGGACCGUAGGUUCACUUUGAUAUUAAAUUUAUUUUUAUGGGUACUGUCGGUGUUUGGAGCCCGACCGCACACCCGAGGUUGCCCCUCGCGGUGUUUUUGAGU